UACGUAGGGUGCAAGCGUUGUCCGGAAUUAUUGGGCGUAAAGAGCUCGUAGGCGGCUUGUCACGUCUGCUGUGAAAACUGGAGGCUCAACCUCCAGCCUGCAGUGGGUACGGGCAGACUAGAGUGCGGUAGGGGAGACUGGAAUUCCUGGUGUAGCGGUGAAAUGCGCAGAUAUCAGGAGGAACACCGAUGGCGAAGGCGGUUCUCUGGGCAUGUCCUGACGUGAGGAGCGAAAGUGUGGGGAGCGAACAGG
rnacentral:rRNA from 1 species